rnacentral:ncRNA from 2 species
AACUCAAUAGGCGAUGGGGUUCGCCAAAAACGCUGAAAAGCUAAUGACUCCUACCAGUAU